UGGGAUUUUCGAAGGGGCGUACGGGCAGGUGAAGCUGCACCAGAUUUUGUUCCCCUUCAAGAUUUUGUACACAUUUUAUCUGAAGGGGAUUGAGGAUUUGCCUGAGGAGCUUACAAAUGUGAAGGUUGUGGAGCCCGGCCCUGGUGUGGAGCCCAGCCCUGCUGCCAAUGCCUGUGAGGCCCAUGCCACCGUGUCCAACUUCACCAACUGAUGAGAAUUGCAGAAGGAAUGAGAGGAAUUGGAUGAAUUUGGUAUUUUAUUAAAUGUUUUGUGUGUUUUGAAGGCAAUG
rnacentral:lncRNA from 1 species